rnacentral:rRNA from 1 species
AUCAUGGCUCAGGAUGAACGCUGGCGGCGUGUCUAAGGCAUGCAAGUCGAGCGGAUCAUCUUCGGUAGCAAUACUGGAGAUGGUCAGCGGCAAACGGGUGCGGUAACACAUUGGUAAUCUACCUCGCAGUCGGGCAUUAACACCGCGAAAGCGGUGCUAAUUCCACGAUGGUCUCAGCUUCGUAAAGGAGUUGAGUAAAGCGCAAAACGCGCUGCGAGAGGAGCCUAUGGCCUAUCAGCUUGUUGGUGAGGUAACGGCUCACCAAGGCUAUGACGGGUAGGGGAUGUGAGAGCAUGAUCCCCCCUCACUGGAACUGAGACACUGUCCAGACACCUACGGGUGGCUGCAGUCGAGAAUAUUCCCCAAUGGACGAAAGUCUGAGGGAGCGACGCCCCCGCGUGCAGGACGAAGGGCUUUGGCUCGUAAACUGCUUUUUUCAGGGAAGAAUCAUGACGGUACCUGAAGAGUAAGAGGUUGCUAACUCUGUG